CACAUGGCCAUAAAAUCAGGGUUCACAGCUGUUUUGACACCCAGGGGUUGCUAUCUUUGGCAUCUCCAAAUGAGGGCAUCUGAGAGCAAGGCUGGAGGAGCCAAGAUACUCUGUGGGACAAUAACUCAACCCUCUCCUAACUCCAGCGUGCAAACUUGCUUUAUUCACCAAGAAAGGCCAAAGCAGCAUCCUUUAAACAGGACCCUUUCUUGUAGCUUGAACUGAAACAUGGAUAAGGAAAAUGGACCCAGGCUUGAGUCCAGGUUCUGCUUUUGAUCCAGCUUCCUCUCUCUGCUAUGGCCUGGGAAAGCACUAGAAGACAGCCCAAGUCCUUGGGCCCCUGCACCCACGUGGGAGACCUGGAAGAAGCUCCUGGCUCCUGGCUUCAAAUGGGCGCAGCUCCGGCCGUUGCAGC